rnacentral:rRNA from 1 species
UACGGAGGGUGCGAGCGUUGUCCGGAAUCACUGGGCGUAAAGGGCGCGUAGGCGGCGCGGGAAGUCAUCGGUGAAAGUUCAGGGCUCAACUCUGAAUCGGCCGGUGAUACUCUCGUGCUUGAGCACUGUAGAGGCAGGUGGAAUUCCGGGUGUAGCGGUGGAAUGCGUAGAGAUCCGGAAGAAGACCGGUGGCGAAGGCGGUCUGCUGGCGAGUACCUGACACUGAUGCGCGACAGCGUGGGGAGCAAACAGG